rnacentral:rRNA from 1 species
ACUCCUACGGGAGGCAGCAGUAGGGAAUCUUCCACAAUGGGCGCAAGCCUGAUGGAGCAACACCGCGUGAGUGAAGAAGGGUUUCGGCUCGUAAAACUCUGUUGUUGAAGAAGAACGUGCAUGAGAGUAACUGUUCAUGCAGUGACGGUAUUCGACCAGAAAGUCACGGCUAACUACGUGCCAGCAGCCGCGGUAAUACGUAGGUGGCAAGCGUUAUCCGGAUUUAUUGGGCGUAAAGCGAGCGCAGGCGGUUGCUUAGGUCUGAUGUGAAAGCCUUCGGCUUAACCGAAGAAGUGCAUCGGAAACCGGGCGACUUGAGUGCAGAAGAGGACAGUGGAACUCCAUGUGUAGCGGUGGAAUGCGUAGAUAUAUGGAAGAACACCAGUGGCGAAGGCGGCUGUCUGGUCUGCAACUGACGCUGAGGCUCGAAAGCAUGGGUAGCGAACAGGAUUAGAUACCCUGGUAGUC